CUUAACCACCUUUUUCCUAGGGCCUGUGCACUUUGGAUUUGUUGAGGAAAAAGGAAUAAACAGAGAAGAUGACAGAAGUCGUUUUGCAAAGCAGUCACAAAGGCAGUGGUUGCAAAGGAAAGAGCAAAGAGUCAGGAAUCAGGAGACCAGAGUUCUGUUCGCACUCCUAGGACAGCUCCUCGUAUCUAGAGGUGGGAUCAGUGAAUAUUUGCUGAAGGAAAGAAAGCCUUGAGACAACGCCUCUGCUUCUCCUUGAAAUGGACCCUCAAGAAGAGCAGCCUAAUCCUGUGGCAAUCACAACGCUGGCCAGCAGGGGGUGUUACCUGGGAGAGAAAGUGUUUCCGUGGGAUCAGGACUGCUUUAGGGUCUCUCCACUCCGCUAGUGGAGGAGGCUUUCUGUUCCAGUUGUUAGCUUUCUUACUGAGGAAUUUAAUUCCAUUCGGUUGUAAUCGCACUGUAAACUGCUUACCUUGAAAGUAUGUGAUUUGAGAGUGGAUUUUAUGUGUGAGGGGAAUAGGCAAAAACAUCAACUUCUUUUUACAUUCCUAAAAUUGUUUAAAA